rnacentral:lncRNA from 1 species
UAGGGUUUGGAUUAGGGUUUAGGAUUUGGUUAGGGUUUGGAUUAGGGUUUGGAUUAGGAUUUGGUUAGGAUUUGAUUUAAGAUUUGAUUUAGGGUUUAGGAUUUGGAUUAAGGUUUGGAUUAGGGUUUAGAAUUUGGAUUAAGGUUUGGAUUAGGGUUUCGGAUUUGGAUUAGAGUUUAGGGUUGGAUUAGGGUUUGGAUUAGGGUUUAGGAUUUGGUUAGGGUUUGAUUUAGGGUUUGAAUUAGGGUUUGGUUAGGAUUUAGGAUUUAGGAUUUAGAGUUUGAUUUAGAGUUGAUUUAGGAUUUAGGGUUUGGAAUAGGGUUUAAUUUAAGACUUGUUUAGGAUUUGACUUAGGGUUUAGGAAUUAUUAGGGUUUAAGAUUUAAUUAGAUUUGGUCUAAAGUUGAGUGAAAUUCAAUAGGGUUUUAACUAGAAUUAAAUUAAGGUUGAAUUGACAUAUAUUUGAGUAAAAUUUGUGAUCAUUCUAAUAUUUCUUUAAGAAUUUUAUUGUUUGUUUGAAAUUUCUUUGAGUUGUUUUGAAUUUGAUUACGUUUGUUUACCAUUAUUAUAGUCUAAUUAGAGCAUUGUUAGUAUUCUAUUUAGGAUUUUGUUAUCACAAUUUCUAUUCUUCCUUCUACAACUAGGUGCCCGGAGCAUUCUCAAGCAAGACUUCACACAUUACGACAACGUUAUCAGUAUGACUCUCUUUUAAACACUAUCACAAUCGUUUUUUGCUCUAUACUUGACUCUUCAAACUUGUUGCUACUCUUGAUCAGUGUUUGCUUCAUGAUCUUGCUACUCUUCUUGUUAGCCCCUCACACAUUAGUUGCUUGCUUAAAGCACUUGUUCUACUCUCUGCCUUGCUUGCUUAAAAUAC